rnacentral:rRNA from 1 species
UCAAGCUAUAAAGAGCGUAGGGAGAAUGACUUGGCAUCAGGAGCCGAAGAAGGACGUGACAAGCUGCGAAAAGCUGCGGUUAGGAGCAAAUAUCCAUAGACCCGCAGAUAUCCGAAUGGGGAAACCCGGUACGGCAAUACCGUAUCACUGCAUGGUAAAUACAUAGCCAUGUGGAGGAAACCCUCUGAACUGAAACAUCUAAGUAGGAGGAGGAAGAGAAAGAAACAUCGAUUUCCUAAGUAGCGGCGAGCGAAAGGGAAAGAGGCCAAACCAGAGAUAGCAAUAUCUUUGGGGUUGCGGACUGCGUAAUUGAUUCAAUAUUUUUAGCAGAAGUGUAUGGGAAGACACACCAUAGUAGGUAAUAGUCCUGUAAGCGAAAAGGAUAUUGACAAGGCAGGAUCCAGAGUACCACCGGACACGAGGAACCCGGUGGGAAGCCGGGGGGACCACCCCCCAAGCCUAAAUACUACCUGAUGACCGAUAGUGAAAAGUACAGUGAUGGAAAGUUGAAAAGAACCCCGGAAGGGGAGUGAAAAAGAAUCUGAAACCCUAUGUUUACAAGCUGCUAAAGCACCAUAUGAGUGCGAUAGCGUACUUUUUGUAGAACGGUCCGGCGAGUGUAUGUUGCAAGCGAGGUUAAGGUGUUAAGCACUGAAGCCGAAGGGAGACCGAGUGUGAAUAGCGCGUACAGUUUGCAGUAUACGACCCGAAACCGGGUGACCUAACCAUGGACAGGUUGAAGUGGAAGUAAAAUUCCAUGGAGGACCGAACCCACGUCUGUUGAAAAAGGCGGGGAUGAGCUGUGGUUAGCGGUGAAAUUCCAAUCGAACUCGGAUAUAGCUGGUUCUCAUCGAAAUAGCUUUAGGGCUAGCCUCAGGAUAGUUUAGCGGAGGUAAAGCACUGAAUGGGCUAGGGGGCUUCACGGCUUACCGAACCCUAUCAAACUCUGAAUGCCGCAUAAAUGUUUCCUGGGAGUCAGACUGCGUGAGAUAAGUUUCGUAGUCAAAAGGGAAAGAGCCCAGACCUACAGCUAAGGUCCCUAAAUGAAUUUAAGUGGAAAAGGAUGUGCAGUUGCGUAGACAACUAGGACGUUGGCUUAGAAGCAGCCACUCAUUUAAAGAGUGCGUAAUAGCUCACUAGUCGAGUGAUUGUGCGCCGAAAAUGUAACGGGGCUAAAAUUCAUACCGAAGCUUAGGAAUGAUAGUAAUAUUGUUGGUAGAUGAGCGUUGUGUAAGUCUGCGAAGCUACACCGAAAGGAGUAGUGGAGAUAUCACAAGUGAGAAUGCCGGAAUGAGUAGCGAGAAUUAUGUGAGAAUCAUAAUGGUCGAAAAUCUAAGGUUUCUUGAGGAAGGUUCGUCCGCUCAAGGUAAGCCGGGAGCUAAGGCGAGGCCGAGAGGCGUAGUCGAUGCACAUACGGUAAAAAUUCCGUAGCCACCGAAGUCGUUAAAUACAGGGACACAGGAACAUAGCCCAUCCCCACCGUUGGUUGAGUGGGGCGUAAGGGAGCGAAAAUUAGUAGCGAAGUGGGUGAUUGUACACUGGCGAGAAAAGCUGUAUGAAUUGACAAGGUGCCCGUACCGCAAACCGACACAGGUAGAUGAGGAGAGAAUCCUAAGACCAGCGGGAGAAGUGUUGUUAAGGAACUCGGCAAAAUGACCCCGUAACUUCGGGAUAAGGGGAGCCUACGAGAGUAGGCCGCAGAGAAUAGUCUCAAGCGACUGUUUAGCAAAAACACAGGUCUAUGCUAAAUCGAAAGAUGAUGUAUAUGGGCUGACGCCUGCCCGGUGCUGGAAGGUUAAGGGGAAGUGUUAGAGCAAUCGAAGCACUGAACUUAAGCCCCAGUAAACGGCGGCCGUAACUAUAACGGUCCUAAGGUAGCGAAAUUCCUUGUCAGGUAAGUUCUGACCCGCACGAAUGGCGUAACGA